UACACUCCUGCGGGAGGCAGCAGUGGGGAAUUUUGGCCAAUGGGCGAAAGCCUGAUCCAGCCAUGCCGCGUGCAGGAUGAAGGCCUUCGGGUUGUAAACUGCUUUUGUACGGAACGAAACGGCCUUUUCUAAUAAAGAGGGCUAAUGACGGUACCGUAAGAAUAAGCACCGGCUAACUACGUGCCAGCAGCCGCGGUAAUACGUAGGGUGCAAGCGUUAAUCGGAAUUACUGGGCGUAAAGCGUGCGCAGGCGGUUAUGUAAGACAGUUGUGAAAUCCCCGGGCUCAACCUGGGAACUGCAUCUGUGACUGCAUAGCUAGAGUACGGUAGAGGGGGAUGGAAUUCCGCGUGUAGCAGUGAAAUGCGUAGAUAUGCGGAGGAACACCGAUGGCGAAGGCAAUCCCCUGGACCUGUACUGACGCUCAUGCACGAAAGCGUGGGGAGCAAACAGGAUUAGAUACCCGAGUAGUCC
rnacentral:rRNA from 1 species